rnacentral:misc_RNA from 1 species
GAAGGCGGGAAAAGAAACUAACUACACAAAGACUUGAAUAGUAAGCUGCAUUUUGUCUAACAAACUAAUCUUCUAGAAUAAAUUACUCUAGCUCGGUAGCUAAGCUUUUGCACUUAAUCUCUCUGCAUUGUAACUGCUCUUUCUCUUGUCAUAAUAGUUGAAUUUGUAUGUAUAAUCUGAGUUGUGUAAACUAAAUGGUUGUUCUUGAUUGGAAAUUCCUUUAAACAUUAUUAUCCGAUUAAUUGUUUGAUUGAGCUGACAUGUGAUCUUUGGAGUUGGACAUUUGAUCUUGCUCUUUGUGCAUAUGAGCUUGGACUAACAUGUCCACAAAUUGGUUUGCUUAUUAAUAGGUGAUUACUUUCUCUCAAGUAUGUUCUCACAAAAUGUCCCCUAACUAUAUUGGUGCAAUUUCAACUGGAACUCUAGGUAUUGAGAGUUGGUUUAGGUAAUCUGGAGCUAUGUCUCCACUGAGCCAUUCUGAGUUGCACUGACUUAAAGCCUAGUUGGGUAUUUGAGUGUUGAAUCAUUCUGGUUUUGAACAUUGUCAAGGUGAAUGGAAUUUUUUUCUUUCUUUC